UACGUAGGGGGCUAGCGUUGUCCGGAAUUAUUGGGCGUAAAGAGCGUGUAGGCGGUCCGGUAAGUCGGCUGUGAAAGUCCAGGGCUCAACCCUGGGAUGCCGGUCGAUACUGCCGGACUAGAGUUCGGAAGAGGCGAGUGGAAUUCCCGGUGUAGCGGUGAAAUGCGCAGAUAUCGGGAGGAACACCUAUGGCGAAGGCAGCUCGCUGGGACGUUACUGACGGUGAGACGCGAAAGCGUGGGGAGCAAACAGG
rnacentral:rRNA from 1 species